rnacentral:rRNA from 1 species
CUACGGGGUGCUGCAGUGGGGAAUAUUGCACAAUGGAGGAAACUCUGAUGCAGCAACGCCGCGUGGAGGAUGAAGGUUUUCGGAGCGGAAAGUGGUUUUAUAUAGGAAGAAGAUGACGGUACUAUAUGAAUAAGCGCCGGCUAACUCCGUGCCAGCAGCCGCGGUAAUACGGAGGGCGCAAGCGUUAACUCGGAAUCACUGGGCGUAAAGAGCGUGUAGGCGGAUUAAAAAGUCAGAAGUGAAAUCCUAUAGCUUAACUAUAGAACUGCUUCUGAAACUCUUAAUCUAGAAUAUGGGAGAGGUAGAUGGAAUUUCUGGUGUAGGGGUAAAAUCCGUAGAGAUCAGAAGGAAUACCGAUUGCGAAGGCGAUCUACUAGAACAUUAUUGACGCUGAGACGCGAAAGCGUGGGGAGCAAACAGGAUUAGAUACCCUCGUAGUC